rnacentral:lncRNA from 1 species
CUUUGUUUACAAACCAUAAACUAGCUAUUAGUAGCUAGCUCAAGCAGAACGUACAACCAAAUGUACUGGUAACCUUUCAUCUGUGGUGUGACAGUUAGCUAGCAAGCUACUUACAAGCAUGCCAGCUGAAAAUUUGAAUAAUGUCAUUUCGAGUGAAGUUGAUUUAUCAAUUGGGGAGAACAUUCGAUGGGUUUUGCCAGGAAGCUAAUCCUGAAGACGGAUGCUGUACGGUCAUUGACAGUGGAUCUUACAAGCGCCGACCAUAAUAUUACAGGCUUCGCAGACUGGCUCCUGGAUAUCCUCUACAACGAGGUCACCCUGGACUGAGAUCCGUAUGUGGGGAAGCUGUGCGAGCUGUCCAUCCCAGGACCCCUGUCUGCCCAGUGUGAGAGGCCUGACAAGGAAGAGGCCAUAGCUGGAUUUGUCUCCCACUUCAAUCAUGGGGGUGACUGAAGCCUGCUCGAUUUGAAGCAGGGUACAUGGGUCCUCCACCUUUCCCGCUCCCCUCCCCAUCAAUCUCUGUAGUUGGUUGCAUUUCUUAAAGCCUAACUAAUUCACUUUUACGUGAUCUGAUAUCACAUUUCGUUACGUUGUAUUAUUUUAUUUAAGCAUUCGGACGGGAGAUGAUUGUUACAAAUUGUACGAAUCAAUGGGUCCUGCACACUGUCUAUAUUGGGCUUAUGGCUCUAAUAUUUUUUUAUGUGAAAUUAUGUCUCACUAUUAUUUCUCACCUUUAUUUCUCAUGAUUGUUCACGUUGAUCAAUAUUUUGGCUGUGCUGGCCUGUUGUAAAAUAUAAAAAUAAAUGUCUGAUCAAUACGCUGUUUUCAUGUACAUUCCCUUAUGUCUAACAACACUGAACACCUCCCUCUGCAACUGGAUCCUUGACUUCCUAGGUAGGCCUGAUUACUGACGACGAUGAGACAGCCUAUAGGGAGGAGGUCAGAGACAACAACCUCUCCCUCAACGUCAGCAAGACAAAGGAGCUGAUCGUGGACUACAGGAAAUGGAGAGCCGAGCACGCCCCCAUUCACAUCGACGGGGCUGUAGUGGAGCAGGUCGAGAGCUUCAAGUUCCUCAGCGUCCACAUCACAAAGGAUCUAUCAUGGUCCACACACACCAACACAGUCGUGAAGAGGGCACGACAACGCCUCUUCCCCCUCACGAGACUGAAAAGAUUUGGCAUGGGCCCUAUGACUGGCUGCAACGCCGCUUGACAUGGCAACUGCUUGACAUCCGACCUCAAGGCGCUACAGAGGGUGAUGCGUACGGCCCAGUACAUCACUGGGUCCGAGCUCCCUGCCAUCCAGGACCUCAAUACCAGGCAGCGUCAAAGAAAGGCCCUAAAAUUGUCAAAACUUCAGCCACGCAAGUCAUAGACUGUACUCUCUGCUUGGUAUCAAUCCAAGUCUGGAGCUAACAGGACCCUGAAAAGCUUCUACCCCCAAGACUGCUAAAUAGUUAGUCCGGGUAGCUAUUUGGUUAACUAUUUAACUAUCUUCAUUGACCCUUUUUGAACUCCCUUUUUUGACUCAUCACAUAUGCUGCUGUUACUGUUUAUUAUCUAUCCUGUUGCCAAGUCAUUUUAUUCCUAAAUAUAUGCACACAUCUACCUGAAUUACCUCGUACCCCUGCACAUCGACUCGGUACUGGUACCCCGUGUAUAAAGCCAAGUUAUCACUACUCAUUGUGUAUUUAGUAUUAUGUGUUAUUGCUUUUCUAAAGUGACUCAGGCUUUACUAAUUCUUGUAAAGGAGUGUAUCAGUGAAGUGUAUUCUGUAAUUAGUUACUAAACAAUAGAAAUACAAUUGUGUAUUGCUGCUGUUUGUCUGAUAUCUAACAGUCCAUGAUUAGCUCUGUUGACCAUGAGAGCAUUUUGCAGAGAAAAUGGGUUGAGGCAUACUAUUUAGGCUUGGAAUGACAUGUGGCCCAUUGUUUACCUUGUCAUCAAUGACAUGUGGCCCAUUGUUUACCUUGUUACCUGGCAAUGACCAAAGAGCUGUCAGUCAUGAACAUAAGCUCCCCG